rnacentral:rRNA from 1 species
AUGGCCGCUGCCGGCGAUGUCCACCACGACCCCAGCCCAUCUGUCCCGUUCUACUCUCUCUUCCCCACCUUAUCCAGCCAUCUCCAAAGAAAAGGAAAAUGGCGGCACCGUGAGAACCACCGCCGGCAGAGGUGGAAUCGAUCCGGCGAUGUGGCCGCUGCCUGCGCUGUACAAUCCCAUCCUCUCUUAUGCCUUCUCUCAGCCCCACCGCCCACCGCCACCACGAUCCCAUCCUCGUCGCCGUCUGCUCCGCCCGCUCCCUUGUCUCCUCCGACCCUGACCGACGCAGGUCCGCCGCCGACGCUUCUUCUGCCUCUUUUUCUGCCGCAGAGUUCCCACCAACCACCGCCCACUAUCGCCACCACCUCCCCUUCGUUGAUGUCUCGUCCGCCCCUUCCCCUUAUCCUGCAAUGCAGACUGCAUAGGUACGCCGGCGGAACUGUCUAG